rnacentral:rRNA from 1 species
GGCCGCGGGAAUUCGAUUCAGGCCUAACACAUGCAAGUCGCACGGACCCUUCGGGGUGAGUGGCGGACGGGUGAGUAUCGCGUAGGGAUCUAUCCACGGGUGGGGGAUACCAUCGGGAAACUGGUGCUAAUACCGCAUGAUACCUGAGGGUCAAAGGCGCAAGUCGCCUGUGGAGGAGCCUGCGUUCGAUUAGCUUGUUGGUGGGGUAAAGGCCUACCAAGGCGAUGAUCGAUAGCUGGUCUGAGAGGAUGAUCAGCCACACUGGGACUGAGACACGGCCCAGACUCCUACGGGAGGCAGCAGUGGGGAAUAUUGUACAAGGGGCGAAACCCUAUCC